UACAGGGGGUGCAAACGUUGCUCGGAAUCAUUGGGCGUAAAGCGCACGCAGGCGGUCUGUCAAGUCGGAUGUGAAAUCCCCGGGCUCAACCUGGGAACUGCAUUCGAAACUGGCAGGCUAGAGUCUUGUAGAGGGGGGUAGAAUUCCAGGUGUAGCGGUGAAAUGCGUAGAGAUCUGGAGGAAUACCGGUGGCGAAGGCGGCCCCCUGGACAAAGACUGACGCUCAGGUGCGAAAGCGUGGGGAGCAAACAGG
rnacentral:rRNA from 1 species